GCGCCGCCAUUUUUGAUUCUUGUCAGUCAGAUUACCUGGCAAACUAGCAGUGGUUCCGUGUGCAUUGUGUAUCUGACGUUGAACAAGACCAUAAGGACGUCAGUGAUGAAAAUGGUGUGCCCGAAAGCUUAUUUGUAUGGGAGAAGAAUUUCAAUUAUGCUAUCGAUGAAUAGUAAUAGCACCUAA
rnacentral:misc_RNA from 1 species